UACGGAGGGGGCUAGCGUUGUUCGGAAUUACUGGGCGUAAAGCGCGCGUAGGCGGCUUUGUAAGUUAGAGGUGAAAGCCCGGGGCUCAACUCCGGAAUUGCCUUUAAGACUGCAUCGCUAGAAUUGUGGAGAGGUAAGUGGAAUUCCGAGUGUAGAGGUGAAAUUCGUAGAUAUUCGGAAGAACACCAGUGGCGAAGGCGACUUACUGGACACAUAUUGACGCUGAGGUGGCGAAAAGCGUGGGGAGCAAACAGG
rnacentral:rRNA from 1 species